GCAGAACGCGAAGAACCUUACCCGGGCUUGAAAGUUAGUGAAUAGAGCAGAGACGCUCUAGUCCUUCGGGACACAAAACUAGGUGCUGCAUGGCUGUCGUCAGCUCGUGCCGUGAGGUGUUGGGUUAAGUCCCGCAACGAGUGCAACCCCUAUGUUUAGUUGCCAGCAUGUUAAGGUGGGGACUCUAAACAGACUGCCCGCGCAAGCGGUGAGGAAGGUGGGGACGACGUCAAGUCAUCAUGGCCCUUACGUCCGGGGCUACACACGUGCUACAAUGGUCGGUACAGCGGGCAGCUACGCAGCAAUGCGAUGCUAAUCUCGAAAAGCCGAUCACAGUUCGGAUUGGGGUCUGCAACUCGACCCCAUGAAGUUGGAUUCGCUAGUAAUCGCGUAUCAGCAAUGACGCGGUGAAUACGUUCCCGGGUCUUGUACACACCG
rnacentral:rRNA from 1 species